rnacentral:rRNA from 1 species
UAGUCCACGCCGUAAACGAUGCUUACUCGCUGUUGGCGAUAUUACUGUCAGCGGCCAAGCGAAAGCGUUAAGUAAGCCACCUGGGGAGUACGCCCGCAAGGGUGAAACUCAAAGGAAUUGACGGGGGCCCGCACAAGCGGAGGAGCAUGUGGUUUAAUUCGAUGAUACGCGAGGAACCUUACCUAGGCUCUAAUGUUAGCGCAAUCUGGUGAAAGCCGGAGUUCCUUCGGGACGCGAAACAAGGUGCUGCAUGGUUGUCGUCAGCUCGUGCCGUGAGGUGUUGGGUUAAGUCCCGCAACGAGCGCAACCCCUAUUGCUAGUUGCCAGCAUUAAGUUGGGGACUCUAGCAAGACUGCCGGCGUAAGCCGCGAGGAAGGUGGAGACGACGUCAAAUCAUCAUGGCCUUUAUGCCUAGGGCGACACACGUGCUACAAUGGUGCAUACAGAGGGUAGCGAAGCCGCGAGGUGGAGCCAAUCUCAGAAAGUGCAUCCCAGUUCGGAUUG